UACGAAGGGGGCUAGCGUUGCUCGGAAUCACUGGGCGUAAAGCGCACGUAGGCGGAUCUUUAAGUCAGGGGUGAAAUCCCGGAGCUCAACUCCGGAACUGCCUCUGAUACUGACGGUCUUGAGUUCGGGAGAGGUGAGUGGAACUGCGAGUGUAGAGGUGAAAUUCGUAGAUAUUCGCAAGAACACCAGUGGCGAAGGCGGCUCACUGGCCCGGUACUGACGCUGAGGUGCGAAAGCGUGGGGAGCAAACGGG
rnacentral:rRNA from 1 species